UUCGUAGCGAACGGACGAGAAUUUUGGCUUCUCUGAUGUUAGGGGCGGACGGGUGAGUAACACGUGGAUGACCGACCUAUAAGACUGGGAUAACUUCGGGAAAGCGGAGCUAAUACCGGAUAUUAUUUUGAACCGCGGGGUUCAUAAGUGAAAGACGGUCUUGCUGUCCCUUAUAGAUGGAUCCGCGCUGCAUUAGCUAGGUGGUAAGGAAACGGCUUACCAAGGCAGCGAUGCAUAGCCGACCUGAGAGGGUGAUCGGCCACACUGGAACUGACACCCGGUCCAGACUCCUACGGGAGGCAGCGGUAGGGAAUCUUCCGCAUGGGGCGAAAGCCUGACGGAGCAACGCCGCGUGAGUGAUGAGGGUCUUCGGAUCGUAAAACUCUGUUAUUAGGGAAAAACAUAUGUGUAAGUAACUGUGCACAUCUUGACGGUACCUAAUCAAAAAGCCACGGCUAACUACGUGCCAGCAGCCGCGGUAAUACGUAGGUGGCAAGCGUUAUCCGGAAUUAUUGGGCGUAAAGCGCGCGUAGGCGGUUUUUUAAGUCUGAUGUGAAAGCCCACGGCUCAACCGUGGAGGGUCAUUGGAAACUGGAAAACUUGAGUGCAGAAGAGGAUAGUGGAAUUCCAUGUGUAGCGGUGAAAUGCGCAGAGAUAUGGAGGAACACCAGUGGCGAAGGGCGACUUUUCUGGUCUGUAACUGACACUGAUGUGCGAAAGCGUGGAGGAUCAAACAGGAUUAGAUACCCUGGUAGUCCACGCCGUAAACGAUGAGUGCUAAGUUGUUAGGGGGUUUCCGCCCCUUAGUGCUGCA
rnacentral:rRNA from 1 species